UUGAAAGUGCUUGCUGUUUCAUUUUUAUAAUCAUCAGGGCAGUCUAAAUAUUUUCUAUAUUAAUAUAAUUCCUAUAUCCCCAGAACUAGUUAUUUCCGAAGCUCUUGUUUUAUAAAUGUUAGUGAUAAAC